rnacentral:rRNA from 1 species
AGUGAACGCUGGCGGUAGGCCUAACACAUGCAAGUCGAACGGCAGCACAGUAAGAGCUUGCUCUUACGGGUGGCGAGUGGCGGACGGGUGAGGAAUACAUCGGAAUCUACUUUUUCGUGGGGGAUAACGUAGGGAAACUUACGCUAAUACCGCAUACGACCUACGGGUGAAAGCAGGGGACCUUCGGACCUUGCGCGAUUGAAUGAGCCGAUGUCGGAUUAGCUAGUUGGCGGGGUAAAGGCCCACCAAGGCGACGAUCCGUAGCUGGUCUGAGAGGAUGAUCAGCCACACUGGAACUGAGACACGGUCCAGACUCCUACGGGAGGCAGCAGUGGGGAAUAUUGGACAAUGGGCGCAAGCCUGAUCCAGCCAUACCGCGUGGGUGAAGAAGGCCUUCGGGUUGUAAAGCCCUUUUGUUGGGAAAGAAAAGCAGCAGGUUAAUACCCCGCUGUUCUGACGGUACCCAAAGAAUAAGCACCGGCGAACUUCGU